AUAUAGAGUUUGAUCAUGGCUCAGAACGAACGCUGGCGGCAGGCUUAACACAUGCAAGUCGAGCGCUCCGCAAGGGGAGUGGCAGACGGGUGAGUAACACGUGGGAAUCUACCCUUUUCUACGGAAUAACGCAUGGAAACUUGUGCUAAUACCGUAUGUGYCCUUCGGGAGAAAGAUUUAUCGGKAAAGGAUGAGCCCGCGUUGGAUUAGCUAGUUGGUGGGGUAAAGGCCUACCAAGGCGACGAUCCAUAGCUGGUCUGAGAGGAUGAUCAGCCACAUUGGGACUGAGACACGGCCCAAACUCCUACGGGAGGCAGCAGUGGGGAAUAUUGGACAAUGGGCGCAAGCCUGAUCCAGCCAUGCCGCGUGAGUGAUGAAGGCCCUAGGGUUGUAAAGCUCUUUCACCGGAGAAGAUAAUGACGGUAUCCGGAGAAGAAGCCCCGGCUAACUUCGUGCCAGCAGCCGCGGU
rnacentral:rRNA from 1 species